GGUCGGUUGGCUCAAUGGUAGAGCGUCCGCCUCCUACUUCAUGGGACUCGAUCCCACAAGUCCGAAAGCGGAAGGUUGUGGGUUCGAGUCCCAUGCUGAUCG
rnacentral:tRNA from 2 species